UCUGUUUUUGUCAGUUGGAAACUAUAUUUGAACUUUCUCUUAACAGUAGUGAAGCUGCAACUGAAAAUGAUUAGGUUGUUUAGUGUGGCUAACUCUGAGUUUUUCCUGUUGGUUUCUUCUUGUUGAUGCAGGGCUGACUUGGGACAAACUUAUGAACUGAAACCGUAUGUCUUCCGUGAGCUGAAAUGAAGCAUAUAGAAUUCCGAGCUCGGUAUUUUCAAGUGGUAUUGGAGCUGACUUUCAUUCAACUCGUACUGAACCGACCUCAUGCUGAUAGCAAUGGUUCGGAUGUGAUUUGAAAGGCGUAUUGAGGGGCAUGACAUGGUGUGGAUAGGAAUGAUGAAACUGAAGAUGGUUUUUAACUAAAGACAUGGUUUAGAAUAGGCUUCCAACAUUGUGUCUUUAAAUUUUGUGAAGAUGUAAGGAUACUUUGGUGGGAUUGGAACGGUCGAAUGUAUUUGUAUUUUGAAAUUGGUUUCUGAAUUUUGUAAAGGGUUUUCUUUUAAUGACUUUUCUUGUGAUGACUUUUCUUGUGUUUCAAGUGACACCAUCCAUGUAAU